GACGAACGCUGGCGGCGUGCUUAACACAUGCCAGUCGAACGGAAAGGCCCUGCUUUUGUGGGGUGCUCGAGUGGCGAACGGGUGAGUAACACGUGAGUAACCUGCCCUUGACUUUGGGAUAACUUCAGGAAACUGGGGCUAAUACCGGAUAGGAGCUCCUGCUGCAUGGUGGGGGUUGGAAAGUUUCGGCGGUUGGGGAUGGACUCGCGGCUUAUCAGCUUGUUGGUGGGGUAGUGGCUUACCAAGGCUUUGACGGGUAGCCGGCCUGAGAGGGUGACCGGCCACAUUGGGACUGAGAUACGGCGCAGACUCCUACGGGAGGCAGCAGUGGAGAAUAUGGCACAAUGGGCGGAAGCCUGAUGCAGCAACGCCGCGUGCGGGAUGACGGCCUUCGGGUUGUAAACCGCUUUCGCCGGUGACGAAGCGUGAGUGACGGUAAUGGGUAAAGAAGCACCGGCUAACUACGUG
rnacentral:rRNA from 1 species